rnacentral:rRNA from 1 species
UGGGAAUUUUGGACGAAUUGGGCGAAAGCCUGAAUCCAGCAAUGCCGCGUGUGUGAAGAAGGCCUUCGGGUUGUAAAGCACUUUUGUCCGGAAAGAAAUCCUUGGCUCUAAUACAGUCGGGGAGUGACGGUACCGGAAGAAUAAGCACCGGCUAACUACGUGCCAGCAGCCGCGGUAAUACGUAGGGUGCAAGCGUUAAUCGGAAUUACUGGGCGUAAAGCGUGCGCAGGCGGUUUGCUAAGACCGAUGUGAAAAUCCCCGGCGUCAACCUAGGGCAACUGGCAAUUGGUGAUGCUGGGCAGGCUAGAGUAUGGCAGAGGGGGUGAAAUUCCACGUGUAGCAGUGAAAAUGCGUAGAGAUGUGGAGGAAUACCGAUGGCGAAGGCAGCCCCUCGGCAAGUCAACUGACGCUCAUGCACGAAAAGCGUGGGGAGCAAAACNGGAUUAA